CUCACUGGCAUUCCAGGGCAUUUCCUAAUAGAGCCGAGCACAGAGAGGAGCGGCCUCGAGAAGUAGGGACUUUUAAAACAUUCUCCCACAAAGGAGGCCUGCAAUGAAGAAAGGACUUUCUCAACUGUGUCUAGUUUUUAACAACCAGAAAACACGACCGUCUGAACGUUCAACUAUGAAGACUACACAAUAUAAUGUAAAAUUGGGCUUGGGAGACGAAGCCAAUGGUUUUUAAUCACAGAGAUCAUGUGAAGCAAAAAUUCCUUAUUUUCCUGAUUAGGGGGCCGAUCUGAGUGUAGAGGUCAUGUUCCUGUCUCAAACACAAUCUGUGUCGUGCUCGGUUAACUUUGUGACGUGAAUGGUCCUCUAAACGCCAAGGACAAGAGCCUGGGUAUUCACCUUUAUGAUUCGUACGUCAUUUUCUUCCUCGUGGACAUCCACCGCUCUGGCAAUAACCAGACUGUGAUACAAACAGAUACGCAAGGAAACUCAAGAUUUGGUCUUUCCUCCAUGUUUUUUUCCCCCCUUUUUUUUCUUUCUCCUUCCCUCCUUCCCUCUCUCCCUCCCCCGUCUCUUUCUCUCUUUUCUUCAUCUAUGAUACUAACCAGGGAGGACCUAUAACUUAAAAUAAACUUCCGAGCAAGUGAUUAAAUGGU